GUUUCCAGACACAUGAAUAAGAUAUGGGUUGGUCUCACAAAAUAAGCUGAAUUGAGUUUUGACUGUAUGACUGGAUUCAUUUUGACUGCUAGGGGAAUUUUCAAAGUUGAUCUUCAUUUGUUUUUUAUUUCAACAGGCUCUAACUGAACCCCUCCUUCUUGACCUUCUCUGCCCAUAAAGAAACUCACCCAGUGCCUCAAAGGAGGCUGUGAUGUGCUAGAGUUUACAUGUCCCAAAGUGUAAUUCCUCUGUUAUUCCCUCAUAAACUCACUUUUGAACAACAGAGUUUGCAUCAGUUUACCUCUUCAUUUAGUUGAUGGCUCAGUCUAAAUGCACAGAUGGCUCCAAAACACCAAGAACCAUCUCAACAACACAGCUGACUACACUUCGGCAGAUUAACAUUUACCAGUGGCUACAGAGAGAAACCCAGGUGUCCAGAAGACGUUUCAUCUUUUCAGUGUGCCGCUUUCCAUAUUUGAGGAGGCAAGCUUAUCAUCAGUCCUACAAAUCAACCCUGGCACCAGCAACAAAUGUUAGUAGGUGUUGGAAUUGUAUCAGAAGAAGACAGAAAGCUAAAUUCUUGGGAAACAUCCAUUUAUAGCUCAAAUCCAUCUGAGUGGCAGAUGUACAAAAGAACAGAGAAAGGGGACCAAAACUCACUAUAAAAGCAUUCUACCAUGGUGCCCAUACAUUACAUGCUGUACAAAAAAUACUAUAUAACUCUCUAUUGGUAUAGUCAAUUUUUUUUGUUACUUCAUCUCUUAUUUAUUUCAAACCUGCUACCCAUAUGUACUUUCUCUUCUGUUUGUCACUUGCUAUUCUCCUCAGUUAUCACAACCGUUUAGUUAAGGAAUCUCUGAUCUUCUACAAGGGGUGAGGAAGAGGCAGAAAGCCAGGUACACAGUCUCAAAACUUAUUGAAGAACCUUCUCCUUAGGGAAAAACCCUGUUUAAAAUAAAUACUUUAUUUCAUGUGUCUUGCUGUGUUGGACUGUGUGGUAAACAUAAC
rnacentral:lncRNA from 1 species